UCCUGGCUUGGUCUUUGUGCAACCAGUUAAGCCUGGACGUUCUUGUUUUGGAUUCGUUGAACCCAGCUCAGUCAUUUAUCCUGGAUGUCUGAAUCCUACUUUUGUGCAACGAGUCCGAAAUCCUGUCAGGGAGGACAGUAUGGGAGAAAGGUUGAUAAACCUUGUUUCACAGCACCCCGUCCUUUUUGAUAAAAGACGGGAUGAUUUUAUGAACAAUGAAUUAAAGGACAACGUCUGGCAGUCCAUUGUCCAGCUUGGUGGCUGCGGUGAGAGUGUUGCCAAGUAAAGAUUUAGAGAUCCAGUCCUGACUCCUGUGUCUCCUUUCCAACUCGGGACACAACAGAGACAAAAUGGAGACGGGUUACAUAUAUUUAAUAUAUGUUAGAGGAUGACUCAGUGAGAAUGGCUACUCAACCCAAUGAGACACAACAAAGACUGUGGUUCACUAGAUUGGAACUACUGUCCUAUUUCCAUGGAGAUGGUAAGGACAAAUAACAUUUUUCCAAUCUAUAAAACUAGAUUUGAGCUUGCAAUUAAAGCCUGUGCAGAUGGACAUACUUCCUACCUGUCUCAGCAGAGAUGCACUGGCUGUCAUUACCACCAGAGGAGCAGCAAGACUAUGAUGACUGUAUAGAUAAAUGACAUUUUGGGAGUAAAGAAUUUUUGGUAUAUGUUAAUUUGUGAGCUUUUAUUAGCUUUGGACAGAGCAAGGCUGACUUUUUUUCUCCUGUUUCCCCAUAUGUGUGUGCGAGCUGCUUGUAUUGAUGUCAUGCCUGUAAAAAAGGAGACUUCGACCUGGAGAAGUUUGGAAGUAAAGUGGCACAUUGUUGGCUUUGCUAGAAAUGCUCAGUGGCUUGUGGAUCACAAGGCAGACAUGUACUGCCGUAAUUGUAUCAAUCUGAACACUGACAGUACCUGCUGUAGAAUGAUCUGGCCAAGAAAAAAGACACACCUCGAUGCUUCAACCUUGCGCAGCCAAAAUGGACAAUCGGAGGUAUUUAAGGAGGCCCCAGCAGUCAAGCAAGUGAAGAGACAGUUUGAAAUGAUCUGACAACAGUUUCUCACGCACAGUAUGUAUUGCCCAAAUUGAAUGUAUCCUAAAAUGAUUUUUACAUUUGUUUCAUUUGCAAGAAAUAGUUGCAAAGUUUAAUGAAAGUAAAGUCAAGUCCAUAAAGUCCAAAUAUUGCUGAUCGUCUUCAUAAGCUGCUCCUGUGCUUCACAGUUGUGGAACAGAGUCCAGCUCCCAAUACACAUUCAUUGCAUUGAGAAAAAGGCCUCAAAAUUACUCUAAUUGCACAUAACAGGCAAUAAGUAGAGUCUGCUAGUAUGUGUUAGAAAAACCUAUGUAAUUAUGUCAAAUUUUAACCGCCAUCCCAUGGGGAUAUGUUGCUUUUUCACUGUGGUGAAAAAGAAUCCAUACCAUACAUCCACAAUGUUGACUUGCCUUAUAACAAAUGUAGACAACCUCGUAUCAGAGUUGUAUUACCCCUGCACAUUUUGAUGGCUUCUGGACAAAACCAGGUCCAUCUGUCUCCAAAAGUUGUGUAUAGCACCUUGUAUCUUGAGAAAUUGCUUUGACACUUAGCUGCUAUGCUAACGGCUACUAUGAGAGCACAGUCAGACUGAAUAAUGCAAUGAAACGAAAUGGCAAUUCUGAGUAUCAGGCUAGCAAUGCACUGAGUUGAGUAUGUGCAGUCAGCUCUCACUGCAUACUCAAAAAUUCUUGAUAAUUUAGUAUACAUGCGGGCGUUUCUUGCACACAUAAUCCACAUACUAUGCAGCUGAAACACUACAUACUCAAUCUGACAUACUUAGCAUGAAUAGUACAUUAGUAAUACAGUAUGAUGGACAGCAUGACAGCUCCUCAAGUAAAGCCAAAACAUCUCAAUCGCCCCCUAGUGGCUGGCUGUAGUAUAGGACAUAAAGUCCACCCUCUCCAUGUUGACAAGUGGAACAUGGGCCAAAUUCAAAAAAACUCCAAGUACACAUAAUUUAUUUAUUUUUUGUAGAUAGGUAGUUCUUAUGCUGAUGUUACUUAUAGAUGAAAGAUGUUUCUAUUUCCAGUUUUGCCUUGCAAUUAAUAGAUAUAGAGGUCUAGUCAAAGUAAUGUAUAUGAAUAUCACUUUAAAGGAUAAAACUGGUGUAGUGUUUACUUACUGUAAACAUGGCCUGUGAAAAGAGCAAAAUCUGUAGUGCUUUUCUGUUAAUAACUAUGGUCCAUCUAUCCACUGCCAGAAAUAUAUAUUUCGUAUCAUGUAACUAUUUGAACUCCAUGGUAUUCAAAAAUAAAACAAGUCACAGAUUUGCAAUUUUUCUUUGGUCUGCACAGCUUUUUUUAAACAAUAUUUUUCAAGAUAACAUACUGAUGAUUACUGUAUGAUUAUACUGCAAGUGUCAUGUUUUUGAAAAAGUUUAUCAUAGAUUGUUGCUCAUGCCCAUGCAGUAGAACAGGAGGGGGCUUUCCAGUGUUACUGGAUGGGCGGGGCAGGGAGCUAUCCAGUUUCUGCUAUUAGGGAUUGUGACUGAAAACAUGUCAUUUGGGUCCAGGGUUUAAAAUAUUGAAAUAUUCCAACUUUUUCUUUUUUUUCAUAUAAAAACAAUAUUUUAGAAGUCAAACAUUAUAUUGAACAAUUAUAUAAAGUAACUGUUGAAUACCUUACAUUUACAGAGAUUGCCUUAGCUGUUUUAAUGUGUAAUGACUUACUAUCCUUCUUUUUCUGUCAAAUGAAAGUUUUGAACAAUAUUUGUUCAGAUUACUAAAAUGAUUGUUUAAUACCCUAAAUUUACAGAUAUUAUGUUUAAAUAUACCUAUUAAUGUAUUUUGAU